CGGGAUCCGUCCCGUGACAAAGGAAUGUGGUUCUGUUUGCAGCAGGACUGAACCUUGCA
rfam:Methanoculleus sp. SDB scaffold-3130, whole genome shotgun sequence.